rnacentral:lncRNA from 1 species
CUGAGCAGCCUGUCUACAUGACCCAUGUUAGUACUGUGUUUCUCUCCAUAUUUCUCCUCCUGAAGGUACUGGUGGCAGUCUUUGUCAGAAGUGCAAUAAGUCAUUUCCAGAUGACCAGUACUCCCAGCACCUGAGUGAAUGUGGUGUGGCCCACAAGCUGACAGAAGUUCUUGCUGGCCAGUCAACUUCAGAACUCAGCAGUGACGCACCACAGCCUUCUUCCUCCCUGGCCCCCUCUUCCCACUCUGAGAAUGCGAUGGCGUGGAAAGUUGUCCGUCCCAAAGGCAAAGAAGGGGGUCAGCGACUGACCUCCAAAACCUCGCUUAAACCCCCAAAGAACAAAAAGGUUGGCUCUCCCUCUCCUGCAAGCGGGGGACUUUCCACCUCACCUCAAGCUCUGACAGACGCCCAGUCGUUUGACAUGCUGGCAACCUGUGCCCAUUGCAACAUUCUCCUGCCGCUGCCAACCCUUUGGAAACACGAGAUCAAAUGCCUGCGUCUGACAUCUUUAAAAAACGCUAGGAUGAAACAAAAAUCAAGCCAUGGAGAAAAAGAAGACUCUUUUGACAGCGCUCUUGAUUUAACCUGGAAAUAGAGGCACAUCUUCAGAUUGAAGCUUCAGCUCAGCUUUAGCAAAAUAUGCU